AUAAGAUGGCUAUAAAUUGUGCCCUUUGAAAAGGAGAAAAAUGCUCAAACACAAGUUUUCAACAAAGCUUGAAGUACAUUUUUUUAGUAGAAUGGCAUUGCUUAACCAUGGUUUCUUUUAUGCUAUUCUUCUCCUAGCAACCAUUGUGAACUUGACGUGGUUCACUACGACUCAAGUUAUGGCUGUACGUGAUAUUGAUCCUGAUCUAUCGGGACUUCAAAGGAGAUUACUCCCACAACAAAAUGAUUUUUUUCUAACUUGUGGAAGUCAUUGUAAAAGUGAUAGCGACUGUAGUGGCUGUUGGUUUUGCUGUAGCUGUACACAUAUUCUCGCUGAUAAUUUUAUAACAUGUGCUUAAUGGCAAUUAUGCCAUGAGAUACUGCAAAUCCAUGUUACGAAAUUAUUAUAUUUUCAUGUAAUUCCUUGCACUUUUUCUUGUUUCAUCAUUUUUCAUAUUUCCUGUUAUGAAUUUAUUAUAUUUCCAUGUAAUUCCUUGAACUUUUCUUA